rnacentral:rRNA from 1 species
UACGUAGGGGCAAGCGUUGUCCGGAUUUAUUGGGCGUAAAGAGCGUGUAGGCGGUUUGGUAGGUCCGCUGUGAAAACUCGAGCUCAACCUCGAGACGCCGGUGGAAACCAUCAGACUAGAGUCCGGAAGAGGAGAGUGGAAUUCCUGGUGUAGCGGUGAAAUGCGCAGAUAUCAGGAAGAACACCCGUGGCUAAGGCGGCUCUCUAGUACGGUACUGACGCUGAGACGCGAAAGCGUGGGGAGCGAACAGG